GACAGCAGCCGCCGCGGUAAUACCGAGGGUGCGAGCGUUAAUCGGAUUUACUGGGCGUAAAGCGUGCGUAGGCGGCUUCUUAAGUCGGAUGUGAAAUCCCUGAGCUUAACUUAGGAAUUGCAUUCGAUACUGGGAAGCUAGAGUAUGGGAGAGGAUGGUAGAAUUCCAGGUGUAGCGGUGAAAUGCGUAGAGAUCUGGAGGAAUACCGAUGGCGAAGGCAGCCAUCUGGCCUAAUACUGACGCUGAGGUACGAAAGCAUGGGGAGCAAACAGGAUUAGAUACCCCCGUAGUCCCUGUCUCUUAUAC
rnacentral:rRNA from 1 species